CAUUAGUCAACUCUUUCUUUGGCUCUUUCUCUUUCUUAACCAAAUUGCGACUGAAUUUGCUAUUAGUGUUUUAAAUUGUGUUUCUUGAAUACCAUUAAUCAACUUUAACGAUGUCACUUAAAAUGACCUGAAAUGACUGUUCGACCAUGUUGAUCAAACAUUGUUUUGAAUAACAUCAACGACAUAAACAAUCUUUCAUUUUAAAAUCGUUUCACUUGAAUUGUCACAGUUAUUUUAUAACUGAUUCUGUUGACAAUUUUAACUCAAUAUUAAAUGUUCCCAUUGAGAUAAUUCAAUUCAGUUGAGUGAAGUUCAACAGUUAAAGGAUCAAUUUGAGUUUUUGGUUGCUUUAACCUUUUCCUUUUACAUUACAAGUUGCAAAUCGGACCAGACCGGGAAUCUUUUUGUUGAUGGCGACCCUUCAAAUCCUAUUAAUUAACUUUAAUUGAUUAAACAGAUUGUCAAUCUCAUUGUUGAUUAGUAUCAUCAUCACCACUAUCAACAUGGUAAAAAAUAGAAACAGUUUGAAAGAAGUAAUCUUGAAUUAAAGUUGGCAAGAUCAACUGUAAAUGCUGGACAUUGAAGGAAUCAUUCUGCCUCCUGUCAUCAAUCAACUUAAGAGAUUUACUUUUUGUUUUGAUUCCAUAGUUACAGUGGUUAUACUAGUAAUUACAAUCAAAAAUAAUUUUGACCAGUCAACUAAAGAUUAUCAAGAAAUACAAGCCAAAAAAAGCAGAAGGUGGAGUAACAAGAAAGAAAGGGUAAAGAAACGGAAAAUGAAAACAAACUGGAUAUUUUUUGUGUGACCAAAUGAAAGUUUACAAACAAAAAUGGACAGCAGCAAAAAAAAUUUGAUCUAAAAAAAGGUGAAAGUGUUAUUGGAAAGUGAUGGAAAUAUUAUCACAAGAUGAAGAAAGAAUAUAGCAGCUUGAGAUUGACACGUUUUUGUUGGUAAAAAAACUUGAGACUGAAUUAGAUCAAAAGCAUCAUAAAGCUCAUACCAAGGUUUCAUAUUUUGGAUUUCAAUUUACUCCGUGUUAAAUUGUAAACUCGUAUGUUGAUGGAAACGCAAAGCUAAACUGAAGAAGCAACAGAAAUAUGGAAUGAAAUCAAAGAGAAGUAACCUGUAACAAAAGGCUGGUUAAGGAUUCACAAAGAUGAAAGUAAAGAUGAAACACGAUGAAUCAAAAAUUGAGAAAGCAAGUUCACUGAAAGGCUCGACUUAUCAAUCAUCAAUUGAGGAAAAGUUAACCAAGUUCAGGCCACAGGCUAAAUCUUGAAGAACCUUUUUAUUCAACGUUCAAUGCAUAAUAUCAACUGAUUUGAAAAUCAUUUUGCAUGUAAAACCAGAAUCGAGACUGAAUAUAUAGUUACAGAUGCAAAAAACAGAUAAGUAAGUGAGUGAAGGAUGUAAAGGUGUAUAAACCACCAAAAAGCGACCUCUCAAAAUUUAUAAUAACCUUGAUUUUAUGAAAGGCCAAAACGCUGUUAACUAGACUUGUAGAUCGCUUUUCAACAGCGUUUUUAAAUUUUGAGAUGGGCGAUUUUCGAUGACAGAAACACCUUCAAAGAGACUUAUUGAUUUGGGUUUUACUCUAUCAACCUGUUCAAGCCAGUUUAUGAGGUAUCAUUAGAGAGUUGAUUUGAAUCUUCAAUUGGUGUCUAUAACAUGCAAAUCAAUUUUUGAUUUCAUGAAUGGAAAGAUGGAUCACAAUUAGCAUGAUAAACACUAUUCUCUUCAAUUAACCAACCCUCAUUUUGGUAACCAAUUUAAUAGUAACCGUUACACCGGAUGAAUCUAUUAUAUAUGGAAUGGUCAUCAGAUAAUUUUGAGCAUCUUUCAUGGAAACAAAAUUGGAAUCAAAUCAUUUAUUGACAAAGUUAUUGAAUGGAAAAGACUGAUUGUUCGAGAUGUCGGAAGAUGGACAAAAAGAGCAAAACUUGAUCUUUAUUUUAUUUUACUUGUGAAAGGCUUUCCUGAUGAUGUGGAUAGUGCAAACUCAAGUACACUGAGGGAGGACAAGGAAAGCAUGAAAACAGUUUAGACAUUGAUCAUGAUGAAAAACUCAUGAUGAUGGUGAUGACAAAUGAAAUACAACAACUUGAAUGCCUUGUUGAUUCAUUGGAUCCAUCGACCAAUCAAGUGGAAAAUUAAUCCAUUCUACCUGGGUUGGUCUUUUCAAUGACCCUGUCACCCUCGACAAACAAAAAUUUGACGACAUUUAUUUACAUUUAAUCAUUGAUCCAGGAGAAGGAAACAAGGAAGAAGAGGAGAACAUUUCGGACGAAAAAAAAGGAUAAAAUAGAGGAAAAUAUGAGACAAGACAAGAAAAUGAUGGCAACAAGAAUAACUGAAAAAAUUGGACAAAGGAGAGUUUACACAAGAAAAAAGGUUACAAAAGUUUCAUCAACCAUAAUGGAAACAGCUUAUCAAGACACAAAAUAAUCAAUUAACGAAAAAGAUUCCAGCACUAUUAUUAGCAUCAUCAUCUCCAUCAUCAUCCAUUAUUAUCAUUAUUCACUUUUACAGUGUUUUAAAAAGUACAUAAAUGAUGUUAACAAAAUGGCAGCCACCAAGAGAAGCAAAGAGAAAGGAAAAAAAGAACAGAAAAGCUUUGGUAUUCAGAUCAAUAAACAUCCUAAAUAUGACCCAGGAACAGGGAAAAAAGGCAAAUGGUGUGAACUACGUCAAGAUCAACUUCAUGAAAAAUUAACAUAAUCAAAAUAUUCCAACUGAUGAAAUGGGGAUUCAUUUCAUACAAUUUGAACAAAAUUAUAUAUUAAUAUGCGUGUCAGUUGGCAAGUGUUUGAUUACUCUUGAAUGUGAAAUCGCCGUUGAUAAUAAGUAAAUAUUUACAAAGAUAUUUGUGCUUUUAUGGUUACUCCAUGAAGGAUUAAAUUUGAAAAGCUUUCUUGUGUCUCAUCAUCUUUAACAUCAACAACAUCUUAAAUGAUUGUCACACUUGCAACCCAUUCAAUUGGUUUUAUCAGAUGGAUUCAAGAAUCUCUAUUUCAACCGAUUCAACAUAUAAAUGUCUUUUUUUGCCCUCUUGGUUUGGAUUUUUAUUCAAUUGCAACAUUUACUCUAUUACAUCUUCAAAUCGGUGAUUUAUAAUCGAUGUUGUGAAUGGACAUUACAAUAAGCUGAUUGUUAACCUUAUUAUAACCCUUCUCUCGUCUCAAAUCAUUAUUCGCUAUUUAUUAACUAUCCACUGGCAAUUCCUGACAAUUAAACUCAUUGGCUUAAUCCCUGAGCAAUUAAUUUCCAUUGGGAAUAUUAACUCUAUUUAUCAGAUUCACAUUCUGCAGUGAAUUUAGGUAGAGAAACAAGUGGAAUAAAAACAUGCCAGUUAACUUGAUCAGAGAGGAAUCAAAGGAUAAGACUGAAGAGUUGUUGAUAAAUAAAUUUUGACCAUCAAUUUAAAGACAAAAAUGGAUAUAAUGGUCACUUGAAAAACAUUGAGAGCCCAAAGACUCUACUUAAAACAGCUAUUAAAGCUUUUCUUCCCUUGGAAUGUUAAAUAAUUCAGAGAAUCAUCAAUGGUACAUGUUGAAUUACCAAGCAUUGGAUGGAAAAGAAUCAAAUUAAAUCAAUUGUGAUUGUGUAAACUGUUUAAACUUUUACUUUUAACCAGCCAAGGUUAAUGUAAUCUAAGCUAUUUCAACGAGUUGACGACGAAAGCCAAAUAAUAAAAGUAAACAGAAUCAAAAUAUCUGACAAUGAAGUAGAAAAAGAAAGAAGAUGAUGAUGACUGGAGAAGAUGUUCAACAAGAAUAAAAAGAAAAUGAAGAAACGAAAUGAUGAUCAUGAUGAUGCUGAUGAAUCAAAUGGAGAAAAGGCGCAAAAGUACAAAGAAAUGAUAGAAACAAGUAAACAGAAAGAAGUGAAUUUAAUAUCAAUAAAUCGGAAGUUGUCAAAUGAAACAACUACAUCAAUCAAUAAUGAUCUUGAAAAAAAAUUGUAUGGAUGAACAGAAAGUAAACAUGAAACAUAUAUUGGAUUGUUACUUUGAUUACAUGGAUCAAGAGAAACUGAAAGCUGAUUUAAGAGCACACAAAAUAACAUUUGAACAAGCUUAAAUUAACCUAAAAAACAGCAACACACACACACAUGGACAAAAAAAUGGCGAGGAAACAAAAAAUGCCACUUAAAUUGAUCAGAUAUCUUAUCAUGGUAAAGCUAAAUGUCACGUAAAUUGUUACCUUGAACAACAACAACAAGAACGACAAAAUAUUGAGUCUAAUUAAAAUGUAUCACUGGUUGGAUGUUAACUUAUGGAGAGUCACUCAUAUCAUUGAUAAAUAUCAUGUUUCACUGGAUUUGGAGAGGCAAAAAUAAUUAAAUGGAAACAAAAUAAUUGUAUUAAUAAUUUAAUGCGCUUUUCCUGUCCACUGUUGUCAAUCAAUCCCAUGGAGAGUUUAAAAUUGGCGCAAAUAUGUAUUAACCAAUGGUAUAAAUGAAUGUAGCCAAUGUUGACAUGAUGAUGGUUUGGCGAUGUUUCCACUGAUUUUGUGACAACUGCAAUGGUUACAGUGUUUUAUAUUGAAAAGAAGUGACGUACAUUAAUGAUAAUCAAUUAAAUAAUUUUGUUAGUCAAUACCUUGUUAACGUAACUCUGAUUAUCGUCAAAUGGAAAUGUUAAAAGAUUCAUUAACUUGGAUUGAGGAAGAAAAGGUUUUACUUGUGAAUCUCGACAAAACCAUCUUGUAAUACAUGUUUCAACACACUCCAUGUAUUAUUAGAUCUACUUGCAUCUUCACAAAAGCUAAUAUUAAUUACAAUUUAAUUUCGCUGAUUACGUUUAACCUGGAUAACUUUGCCUGCCAUUGAUCAUCACCAUUAAUAAGGUGUAAAUUGGUGGACACCAUUUGAUCCAGUCAACCAUUGCCUACCAUCAUUACAAGUACAUUUUUUAGCUGAUUUGUUUGCUUCUUGACAUCUUUAGAGUUGUUUAUUUUCAACAAUCCAUCCAGGAAAACCAUAAACAUAUCCUUUCCUCGGAAACUCAAAAUAUUGAUCCAAUCAUCAAACCAGCAUAAAAAUGGUCAUCACCAUUUAAUCAGCUGUUGACAUCUCUUCAAUUAUUGUACACCUUUCAACUUCACUAAAUCAAUUUGGGUCAAAGUUACACCUUUUUUUUCCUGCUUCAAAAAUAUUACAAGUUUACUCAACAAUCUUAAUCAAUCAAACAGCAAUCAACCAUGCUGGGACCAAUGAAACAUAAUUACCGGAUAAUCAAUGAAAGCGCCUCUGAAUCUGUUGAUUGUUAAAUUUAUUGAAGGAAACUGAGAUGGACUCAAAGCAAUACAAUGAAAGUUUGGAGCAUGUUAAUGACAGGAUUGCAAUUACAGAAAAUUAUUCCAAUUUUGUCAACAUCACCAUCAAAGUUGAAACAAUCUUAUUAUUUAAAUGAUUAGCAAUUAAGUGACAAUAACCAUUAAGCCACAAUUUGAGAUGUCGAUUGUUGAUGAUAAAAAAAGCCAUUCCUUUCAAAUAAUUAACCAAUUGAUUAGCACCAAAAUGUAUGGAUAAGCAAAGCCGAAUGGAUCCUAAUCAGCAGACGCAACAAAGGAAAAUUAGAAAAAUUUCAAAUUAACAUGAAAUGGAACAUUAUUAUUAUGCUAAUUAUUUGAUUAAAAUUGUCUUUUCUUGUGCCAAUCUUUACAAUAAGCCAACCACUGAAUUUUCAAUGGAAAAACAAACAGAAUAAAAUGUAAACAUUAAUUUCUCAA